CAGCAGUGGGGAAUAUUGGACAAUGGGCGAAAGCCUGAUCUAGCCAUGCCGCUGUGUGUGAAGAAGGUCUUCGGAUUGUAAAGCACUUUAAGUUGGGAGGAAGAACUGUAAGUUAAUACCUUGCAAUCUUGACGUUACCGAAACAAUAAGCCCCGGCUAACUUCGUGACCGCCA
rnacentral:rRNA from 1 species